AUUGAACGCUGGCGGCAUGCUUUACACAUGCAAGUCGAACGGUAACAGGCCGCAAGGUGCUGACGAGUGGCGAACGGGUGAGUAAUGCAUCGGAACGUGCCCAGUCGUGGGGGAUAACUACUCGAAAGAGUAGCUAAUACCGCAUACGAUCUAUGGAUGAAAGCGGGGGACCGUAAGGCCUCGCGCGAUUGGAGCGGCCGAUGUCAGAUUAGGUAGUUGGUGGGGUAAAGGCUCACCAAGCCAACGAUCUGCAGCUGGUCUGAGAGGACGACCAGCCACACUGGGACUGAGACACGGCCCAGACUCCUACGGGAGGCAGCAGUGGGGAAUUUUGGACAAUGGGCGCAAGCCUGAUCCAGCAAUGCCGCGUGCAGGAAGAAGGCCUUCGGGUUGUAAACUGCUUUUGUACGGAACGAAACGGCUCUGGUUAAUACCCGGGGCUAAUGACGGUACCGUAAGAAUAAGCACCGGCUAACUACGUG
rnacentral:rRNA from 1 species